CAGUGGAAGGGAUGGGGGACAAAAUGGAGUCAAUGGAGAUGAAUGGAGGAGAGAACGGUGGCAUGGAAAUGAAUGGGGGACAAAGUGGUGACAUUGGAAUGAAUGGGGGGCAAAAUGGCAUUGGAAUGGAUGAAUGGGGGACAAAAUGGAGUCAAUGGAGAUGAAUGGGGGGCAAAAUGGUGGCAUUGAAACGAAUGGGGGACAAAAUGGAGUCAAUGGAAAUGAAUGGGGGACAAAAUGGUGGCGUUGGAAUGAAUGGGGGACAAAAUGGAGUCAAUGGAGAUGAAUGGGGGGCAAAAUGGUGGCAGUGGAGAUGAAUGGGGGACAAAAUGGAGUCAAUGGAGAUGAAUGGGGGGCAAAAUGGUGGCAUUGAAAUGAAUGGGGGACAAAAUGGUGGCAGUGGAAAUGAAUGGGGGACGAAAUGGAAUCAGUGGAGAUGAAUGGGGGGCAAAACAGAGUCAAUGGAGAUGAAUGGAGGAGAAAAUGGCAUCAAUGGAAAUGAAUGGAGGAGAAAAUGGCUCAAUGGAGAUGAAUGGGGGACAAAAUGGUGGCAUUGAAAUGAACGGGGGGCAAAACAGAGUCAAUGGAGAUGAAUGGAGGAGAAAAUGGCGUCAAUGGAAAUGAAUGGGGGACAAAAUGGCAUUGGAAUGAAUGAAUGGGGGACAAAAUGGAGUCAGUGGAAAUGAAUGGGGG
rnacentral:lncRNA from 1 species